rnacentral:rRNA from 1 species
UACGGAGGAUGCAGGCGUUAUCCGGAUUUAUUAGGUUUAAAGGGUGCGUAGGCGGAAUAAUAAGUCAGUGGUGAAAUCCUUCAGCUUAACUGGAGAACUGCCAUUGAUACUGUUAUUCUUGAAUGCAGUUGAGGUAGGCGGAAUGUGUGGUGUAGCGGUGAAAUGCUUAGAUAUCACACAGAACACCGAUUGCGAAGGCAGCUUACUAAAUUGUGAUUGACGCUGAGGCACGAAAGCGUGGGGAU